UACGAAGGGGGCUAGCGUUGCUCGGAAUUACUGGGCGUAAAGCGUGUGUAGGCGGCCUUGCAAGUCGGAUGUGAAAAGCCCCGGGCUCAACCCGGGAAGUGCACCCGAAACUGCAAGGCUCGAGUACCGGAGAGGUUGGUGGAAUUCUCGGUGUAGAGGUGAAAUUCGUAGAUAUCGAGAGGAACACCGGUGGCGAAGGCGGCCAACUGGACGAGUACUGACGCUGAGACACGAAAGCGUGGGAG
rnacentral:rRNA from 1 species